GACGAGGGGUCCAAGCGUUGUUCGGAAUCAUUGGGCGUAAAGCGGGUGUAGGUGGCUUUGUAAGUCAGGAGUGAAAUCCCCGAGCUUAACUUGGGAAGUGCUUUUGAAACUGCAGGGCUUUGAGUGUGGGAGAGGAUCGUGGAAUUCCAGGUGUAGUGGUGAAAUACGUAGAUAUCUGGAGGAACACCGGUGGCGAAGGCGGCGAUCUGGCCCAACACUGACACUGAGACCCGAAAGCGUGGGGAUCGAA
rnacentral:rRNA from 1 species